CAGUAGCCACGGUAAUACGAAGGGUGCAAGCGUUAAUCGGAAUUACUGGGCGUAAAGCGUGCGUAGGCGGUUUGUUAAGUCUGUUGUGAAAUCCCCGGGCUCAACCUGGGAAUGGCAAUGGAUACUGGCAAGCUAGAGUGUGUCAGAGGAUGGUGGAAUUCCCGGUGUAACGGUGAAAUGCGUAGAGAUCGGGAGGAACAUCAGUGGCGAAGGCGGCCAUCUGGGACAACACUGACGCUGAGGCACGAAAGCGUGGGGAGCAAACAGGAUUAGAUACCCCGGUAGUCCCUGUCUCUUAUAC
rnacentral:rRNA from 1 species